rnacentral:misc_RNA from 1 species
CUGGUCGGCGGAGGGGAGUAUUCCUUCGCUGCGAUGUCGUCAUCACGUCGGUCGUCAAUGAUCGAUCGGUGUCGCGGACCGGUGCGUGUCACCGGUGGAAGAGACCUCCGGCGUUUUG